UCCGGUUUGUCACCGGCAGUCUCGCAUGAGUCCCCAACUGAAUGGUGGCAACUAAGGACGAGGGUUGCGCUCGUUGCGGGACUUAACCCAACACCUCAUGGCACGAGCUGACGACAGCCAUGCAGCACCUGAACCAGCGGUCCCCGAAGGGAAAGUCCUAUUUCUAGGAAGGUCCGCUGUUGUCUAGUCCAGGUAAGGUUCUUCGCGUUGCGUCGAAUUGAACCACAUGCUCCACCGCUUGUGCGGGCCCCCGUCAAUUCCUUUGAGUUUCAGCCUUGCGGCCGUACUCCCCAGGCGGGGCACUUAAUGCGUUAGCGCCGGCACCCAGGGGGUCGCUCCCCCAGGCACCUAGUGCCCAUCGUUUACGGCGUGGACUAC
rnacentral:misc_RNA from 1 species